AUGGACCACACGUCUACUGCGGCUCUGAGCGCGCCGUCCGCGCCCACCCGACAGCUGCUCGCGACCUGUUGUUAGCC
rnacentral:sRNA from 1 species